UACACACUCCUUAGAUCCACUUCCAGAAUGCCGUUGACWCAUGUCUGUCAUUCAUAUGUGAUAUUUAUAUGUAUGUCCGUGUGUCUCUAAGCAUUCAACAGCUUUACCGCUGCACAUUGGAAGUGCAUGAGUCAUUGGUGUGUUAGAUUACUGUACCUCUUGUUGAGUACUUCAGGUCUUUAGCCGACUAACAGCAGUGAUAAUUUACUGAGGUACUUAGUUGCUGGGUUAGUUUCUUUGUUGCUUCAGACUGGACUCAACAAGGGACAUU